rnacentral:rRNA from 1 species
GACGGAGGAUGCAAGUGUUAUCCGGAAUCACUGGGCGUAAAGCGUCUGUAGGUGGUCAAAUAAGUCAACUGUUAAAUCUUGAGGCUCAACCUCAAAAUCGCAGUCGAAACUAUUAGACUAGAGUAUAGUAGGGGUAAAGGGAAUUUCCAGUGGAGCGGUGAGAUGCGUAGAGAUUGGAAAGAACACCGAUGGCGAAGGCACUUUACUGGGCUAUUACUAACACUCAGAGACGAAAGCUAGGGUAGCAAAUGGG